rnacentral:rRNA from 1 species
AUGAACGCUGGCGGCGUGCCUAAUACAUGCAAGUCGAGCGAACAGACGAGGAGCUUGCUCCUCUGACGUUAGCGGCGGACGGGUGAGUAACACGUGGAUAACCUACCUAUAAGACUGGGAUAACUUCGGGAAACCGGAGCUAAUACCGGAUAAUAUAUUGAACCGCAUGGUUCAAUAGUGAAAGACGGUUUUGCUGUCACUUAUAGAUGGAUCCGCGCCGCAUUAGCUAGUUGGUAAGGUAACGGCUUACCAAGGCAACGAUGCGUAGCCGACCUGAGAGGGUGAUCGGCCACACUGGAACUGAGACACGGUCCAGACUCCUACGGGAGGCAGCAGUAGGGAAUCUUCCGCAAAGGGCGAAAGCCUGACGGAGCAACGCCGCGUGAGUGAUGAAGGUCUUCGGAUCGUGAAACUCUGUUAUUAGGGAAGAACAAAUGUGUAAGUAACUAUGCACGUCUUGACGGUACCUAAUCAGAAAGCCACGGCUAACUACGUG